rnacentral:rRNA from 1 species
CGGGAAGAGCCCAAACCAACAAGCUUGCUUGUUGGGGUUGUAGGACACUCUAUACGGAGUUACAAAGGACGACAUUAGACGAAUCAUCUGGAAAGAUGAAUCAAAGAAGGUAAUAAUCCUGUAGUCGAAAAUGUUGUCUCUCUUGAGUGGAUCCUGAGUACGACGGAGCACGUGAAAUUCCGUCGGAAUCUGGGAGGACCAUCUCCUAAGGCUAAAUACUCUCUAGUGACCGAUAGUGAACCAGUACCGUGAGGGAAAGGUGAAAAGCACCCCGGAAGGGGAGUGAAAUAGAACCUGAAACCGUGUGCUUACAAGUAGUCAGAGCCCGUUAAUGGGUGAUGGCGUGCCUUUUGUAGAAUGAACCGGCGAGUUACGAUUUGAUGCAAGGUUAAGCAGUAAAUGUGGAGCCGUAGCGAAAGCGAGUCUGAAUAGGGCGUUUAGUAUUUGGUCGUAGACCCGAAACCAGGUGAUCUACCCUUGGUCAGGUUGAAGUUCAGGUAACACUGAAUGGAGGACCGAACCGACUUACGUUGAAAAGUGAGCGGAUGAACUGAGGGUAGCGGAGAAAUUCCAAUCGAACCUGGAGAUAGCUGGUUCUCUCCGAAAUAGCUUUAGGGCUAGCCUCAAGUGAUGAUUAUUGGAGGUAGAGCACUGUUUGGACGAGGGGCCCCUCUCGGGUUACCGAAUUCAGACAAACUCCGAAUGCCAAUUAAUUUAACUUGGGAGUCAGAACAUGGGUGAUAAGGUCCGUGUUCGAAAGGGAAACAGCCCAGACCACCAGCUAAGGUCCCAAAAUAUAUGUUAAGUGGAAAAGGAUGUGGCGUUGCCCAGACAACUAGGAUGUUGGCUUAGAAGCAGCCAUCAUUUAAAGAGUGCGUAAUAGCUCACUAGUCGAGUGACACUGCGCCGAAAAUGUACCGGGGCUAAACAUAUUACCGAAGCUGUGGAUUGUCCUUUGGACAAUGGUAGGAGAGCGUUCUAAGGGCGUUGAAGCAUGAUCGUAAGGACAUGUGGAGCGCUUAGAAGUGAGAAUGCCGGUGUGAGUAGCGAAAGACGGGUGAGAAUCCCGUCCACCGAUUGACUAAGGUUUCCAGAGGAAGGCUCGUCCGCUCUGGGUUAGUCGGGUCCUAAGCUGAGGCCGACAGGCGUAGGCGAUGGAUAACAGGUUGAUAUUCCUGUACCACCUAUAAUCGUUUUAAUCGAUGGGGGGACGCAGUAGGAUAGGCGAAGCGUGCGAUUGGAUUGCACGUCUAAGCAGUAAGGCUGAGUAUUAGGCAAAUCCGGUACUCGUUAAGGCUGA